rnacentral:rRNA from 1 species
UACAGAGGGGGCAAGCGUUAUUCGGAAUUAUUGGGCGUAAAGGGCGCGUAGGUGGUUCUUCAAGUCUCUCGUGAAAUCCCUCGGCUUAACUGAGGACGUGCGGGAGAUACUGAAGGGCUUGAGUCCGGAAGAGGGUGGUGGAAUUCCCAGUGUAGCGGUGAAAUGCGUAGAUAUUGGGAGGAACACCGGUGGCGAAGGCGGCCACCUGGGCCGGAACUGACGCUGAGGCGCGAAAGCGUGGGGAGCAAACGGG